AACGAACGCUGGCGGCAGGCUUAACACAUGCAAGUCGAACGCCCCGCAAGGGGAGUGGCAGACGGGUGAGUAACGCGUGGGAAUCUACCUAGUUCUACGGAACAACAGUUGGAAACGACUGCUAAUACCGUAUACGCCCUACGGGGGAAAGAUUUAUCGGAAUUAUAUGAGACCGCGUAAGAUUAGCUAGUUGGUGGGGUAAUGGCCUAGCAAGGCGACGAUCUUUAGCUGGUCUGAGAGGAUGAUCAGCCACACUGGGACUGAGACACGGCCCAGACUCCUACGGGAGGCAGCAGUGGGGAAUAUUGGACAAUGGGCGCAAGCCUGAUCCAGCCAUGCCGCGUGAGUGAUGAAGGCCUUAGGGUUGUAAAGCUCUUUCACCGAUGAAGAUAAUGACGGUAGUCGGAGAAGAAGCCCCGGCUAACUUCGUGCCAGCAGCCGCCGUAACAC
rnacentral:rRNA from 1 species